GCGGGGGUAGCCAAGUCUGGUCAAAGAGGCCCCGGCACAACCCGCUCCCGAAGGGGUUCGUGGGUUCGAAUCCCACCCCCCGCA
rnacentral:tRNA from 1 species